rnacentral:rRNA from 1 species
AUUGAACGCUGGCGGCAUGCCUUACACAUGCAAGUCGAACGGCAGCACGGGAGCAAUCCUGGUGGCGAGUGGCGAACGGGUGAGUAAUAUAUCGGAACGUGCCCAGUCGUGGGGGAUAACGUAGCGAAAGCUACGCUAAUACCGCAUACGGUCUAUGGAUGAAAGCGGGGGAUCGCAAGACCUCGCGCGAUUGGAGCGGCCGAUAUCAGAUUAGGUAGUUGGUGAGGUAAAGGCUCACCAAGCCGACGAUCUGUAGCUGGUCUGAGAGGACGACCAGCCACACUGGGACUGAGACACGGCCCAGACUCCUACGGGAGGCAGCAGUGGGGAAUUUUGGACAAUGGGCGCAAGCCUGAUCCAGUAAUGCCGCGUGCAGGAUGAAGGCCUUCGGGUUGUAAACUGCUUUUGUACGGAACGAAACGGCGAGCUCUAAUACAGUUUGCUAAUGACGGUACCGUAAGAAUAAGCACCGGCUAACUACGUGCCAGCAGCCGCCGUAA